ACAGCCUGACCCUUCCAGGACUGUGUGUUUGGGGGGAGCACAGUUCCAGCCCAGCCCCACAUCCUGCAUCCCAGCAAUGCUGGGACACCCCAGCUCCACUCUACCCACCCUGGCGAUGCCCGUGCCCCACCAGCACAGGCACAGCAGCCUGAGCGUGGACUGGAGGCUGGCAGAGGUUUAGCAGGGUUUCCAGCUGUGUUUGAGGCUCUGGUUUCUUCCCCUUUUCUUUCUGGCCGGCGCAGGUGGGCUCUGUGUCAUUGCUCAGGGUUUUGCCAAGCUGCCCCUUGUUCAGGGCCAGGGGACACGGAGAGCAGCCACUUCUGGGGAGUGUCCCAGGGCAGCGAGUCAAAACAAGAGGGUUUCAGGGCCAGCCAGGAAAAUCCCACCCAGCCGCGUCCCCGUGUCCCCGUGUCACCCUCUGGGAGGGUUUUCUCAGCCAGGAAACACAGAGCACCUGCCCGGGCAGCUGCAGGGGCCCCAUGCCAGGGAAUGGCCCGGUGUGGGGGAGACCCCCGAGCUGUGUCCCGAGUGCAGGGAACCCCCGGGGAGCCGGGUCUGGCUCGGAGGAGGGGGAACCCCUGGGAUCAGAGCUCUGACUCACCGAGGGAGGGAACCCCUGGGAUCCCGGGGUCUGGCUCGGUGAGGGAAAACAUCUGAGGUCUCCUGACACGGAGAGGAAGCGCUGGGGGUGGAGGGCCCACCCUGGCAUGGGGGAACCCCUGGGUUGUGGGGUCUGCCCCGUCACAGGUGACCCGUCCCGCCCACGCUCCCGGAGCUCCCGGCCGGUUUCUCUCUGAGUCAGAGCUGCUCUGGCUGCCAGCAGGAACUUCCCCUGCUAAAGGAGAAGCAGGACGGGCUCCCACCGCCCCCGCACUCACAGCGAGGUGGGGGAAGGAGGGCAGAAAACCCCGGGGGGCGGUCGAGGUCUUGCCGCCUUCACACGUACCGGGGCUGUGCCAGCCCUGUGCUCGGCGGGACACGCCGUGGCACGGCACGGGAUGGCACGGGAUGGCACGGCACGCUUCCCCAGGGCUGGAAAUGCCCCGUGCUCAUGCCUGCAGUGCCCCACUGCCUUCCCCUUGCCAUCUGAAAGCGAUGGGUGGGGGAGCAAGGGGGAAAAGGAAGCGGCAGCAGCAACCGGUGAGCAAAACAUCACCGGCAGCUGCUGGAACCAAACUGAGACCGUCACCUCCAAAAGGGGCUGGGAUGGGGCCACCAACUCAGCCUGGGGUCGGGAUGGGGGUUUUGUACAUCGGUGCUUAAAUCUGCCUCUUCCAGCCCAGGAAAAUGGGGAUGCAGGAGCAAAAGCAGGAGUCGGGAAUGGGAAGGAGAGCGAUGGCCAAGCCUGGGAGAUGGGAGUUCACAGGGAACACAAAGACAAAUUCUUUAAGGGAAAAAAAAAAAAAGGAAAAGCAAAAAAAAAAAAAAAAAGAAAUCAAAGGGAUGUGGAGAGGGAGAUAAGAGGGAAGACAGAGCAGGGAGACGGAGGGAGCGGAGAGGACGCGGCGGAGGGAGGCAGGCGGCGCGGGGAGGCGAGGCGGGAGCCGGGGGAGCUGUCUGGCGCAUCCCUAUCGCCUCUCUCCAUCGCGGGAGCCCAACCUCAACGGCUGUGCGCGGCUGCAGAUUGCGGGGGGACGGGAGCUGGCUGCCGGCUGCGAUUUCCAUAUCAGCGCCCCCCCCCCCCCCCCCCCCCCCCCCCCCCCCCCCCCCCCCCCCCCCCCCCCCCCCCCCCCCCCCCCCC
rnacentral:lncRNA from 1 species